rnacentral:rRNA from 1 species
CCUACGGGAGGCUGCCGUGAGGAAUAUUGGUCAAUGGCCGAGAGGCUGAACCAGCCAAGUCGCGUGAGGGAAGACGGCCCUACAGGUUGUAAACCUCUUUUGUCGGGGAGCAAAGAGAGUCACGUGUGACUCAUUGAGAGUACCCGAAGAAAAAGCAUCGGCUAACUCCGUGCCAGCAGCCGCGGUAAUACGGAGGAUGCGAGCGUUAUCCGGAUUUAUUGGGUUUAAAGGGUGCGCAGGCGGAGGUGCAAGUCAGCGGUCAAAUUGCGGUGCUCAACGCCGUACAGCCGUUGAAACUGGCAGUCUUGAGUGGGCGAGAAGUAUGCGGAAUGCGUGGUGUAGCGGUGAAAUGCAUAGAUAUCACGCAGAACUCCGAUUGCGAAGGCAGCAUACCGGCGCCCGACUGACGCUGAGGCACGAAAGCGUGGGUAUCGAACAGGAUUAGAUACCCUUGUAGUC